GAGUUUGAUCAUGGCUCAGGACGAACGCUGGCGGCGUGCUUAACACAUGCAAGUCGAACGGGGUGUUUAUUUCGGUAAACACCAAGUGGCGAACGGGUGAGUAACGCGUAUGCAAUCUACCUUCAAGAUGGGGACAACACUUCGAAAGGGGUGCUAAUACCGAAUGAAUGUAAGAGUAUCGCAUGAGACACUUACUAAAGGAGGCCUCUGACAUAAGCUUCCGCUUGAAGAUGAGCUUGCGUCUGAUUAGCUAGUUGGUGAGGGUAAAGGCCCACCAAGGCGACGAUCAGUAGCCGGUCUG
rnacentral:rRNA from 1 species